rnacentral:rRNA from 1 species
AUUGAACGCUGGCGGCAGGCCUAACACAUGCAAGUCGAGCGAGCGGCGGACGGGUGAGUAAAGUAUGGGGACUGACCGAUAGAGGGGGAUAAAUACAGGAAACGGUGGCAAAUACCGCAAACUGUAGGAUAACCCAGAUGGGAUUAGCUAUUGGGGAGGGUAAUGGCUUACCUAGGCGACGAUCCCUAGCUGGUCUGAGAGGAUGAUCAGCCACACUGGGACUGUGGCACUGCCCAGACUCCUACGGAGGCAGCAGGGGGGUAUAUUGCACAAUGGUCGCAAGCCUGAUGCAGCCAUGCCGCGUGAGUGAUGACGGCCUUCGGGUUGUAAAGCUCUGUUAAUCGGGAGACGUUACCGGAAUAGAAAGCCACGGCUAACUACGUGCCAGCAGCCGCGGUAAUUC